rnacentral:rRNA from 1 species
CCUACGGGAGGCUGCAGUGGGGAAUAUUGCGCAAUGGGGGAAACCCUGAUGCAGCAACGCCGCGUGAGCGAAGAAGGCCUUCGGGUCGUAAAGCUCUGUCCUAAGGGAAGAAAAAUGACGGUACCUCAGGAGGAAGCCCCGGCUAACUACGUGCCAGCAGCCGCGGUAAUACGUAGGGGGCGAGCGUUAUCCGGAAUCACUGGGCGUAAAGGGUGCGUAGGCGGCCAAUUAAGCGAGGGGUGAAAGGCUACGGCUCAACCGUAGUAAGCCUUUGGAACUGAAUGGCUUGGGUGCAGGAGAGGAGAGUGGAAUUCCGAGUGUAGCGGUGAAAGGCGUAGAUAUUAGGAGGAACACCAGUGGCGAAGGCGUCUCUCUGGACUGUAACUGACGCUGAGGCACGAAAGCGUGGGGAGCAAACAGGAUUAGAUACCCUGGUAGUC